UACGUAGGUGGCAAGCGUUGUCCGGAUUUACUGGGCGUAAAGAGCGCGCAGGCGGUCGUUCAAGUCGCGUGUGAAAGCCCCCGGCUCAACUGGGGAGGGUCACGCGAUACUGAUCGACUCGAAGGCAGGAGAGGGAAGCGGAAUUCCCGGUGUAGUGGUGAAAUGCGUAGAUAUCGGGAGGAACACCAGUAGCGAAGGCGGCACUCUGGGCCGGUACUGACGCUGAGGAGCGAAAGCGUGGGGAGCGAACAGG
rnacentral:rRNA from 1 species